UGUAGUUCAGAUUGGCCUUAGACUCACUGUGUAGUCCAGGCUGGCCUCAGACUUGCGAUGAUCCUCCUGCCUCAGCCUCCCUCCUGAGUGCUAGGAUGACAGGUGUGUGCCACCACACCUGAGGCCGGCAACCGUAUUUAACAGAUAAUAAUCAACAGUCUCCUUCCCUCUUUCUCUGUUGUCCCCACACUUCCCUCCCUCUCAGGUUUAAGGCUGUGCUUGCAUGCUCUGCAUGACAAUAGCUUGAAACAGAAAGAUUUUUUUCAGAUCUUUUGAAUCUCUAAGUGUUGAAUACCUGGGGUAUGGAAAUAUUAUUAUGAUAUGUUUUAUUAUUAGCAUUGUACAUUGAAUCAGGAGCGUUUAUAUUUUGAAUUUGUCUGAUUGAAUCUUGGUUGGGAAUUGAAGCCUCAGCACACGAAAGCCACAUGUCACUUUUCAGGAGAGAUGAUACCAGUUGUUUGGACGCCUUGUGUUCUAUUAAAGUCAAAACCAGGCUUCCCUGUCAGACUGUUAGAGAGAAACGUGGCUGGGUUUGUGAGCAAGGAGCCCCUGCUUCCAGCCCAAGAGGCUGGAGAGGAGAGCAGAUCCGGACCGCUGGAGCAUGGCCCCUCUGCCACCCAAGUCCUCCCUGUUAUCACCUCAAAGCUGGGAGAGCAGGCUGCCGACAGUGUGCAGCUGUCUGGAGACGCCCGUAAUGGAGUCAGGACGCUGACCUGGGACAGCAGCUGCAGAGGCGAGAAGUACAACAGUUUCCUUCCUGGCUUCCCAGUCCCACGCCCAGGCUGUGUAACCAAGCGCUCCGUGUCCUCUGCCCAGCUUCCCAUGUGUGCCAGCCUCGCGCUCAGCAUCUAAUUUUAAAAAUGAAUAAAUGAAUGAAAAAAAUGAAUGAAAUGAAACCCCCUCCCUCCAAGAUUUCCAGUUGGGAGCAGAGCCGUAGUGAGGAGGCAGUGUGUACGCUUAGGUCCAGGUAGCCAUCUGGCUUGUCAGCGGUACUGGAAUUUAGAUCAUUGCAAGUAGCAGAGACAAACCUUGCCUACAAAACGUGGAAGUGAGAAAAAAUUGUAAACCUCACUUGGCGAGUCGUUAAGUUGGAGGACAACUCCCACACCCUGCUCUAUGAUGAAGCCAACAUCCAGACUGUCACACUUGGCUCCCCUAGAAGUCUCUGUUCUUCCUUCCUCUGGCCCUGCUGCUCCCUAAGUACAAAUGCCCAGAGCCGCACCAUUCCUUUGUAUUUUUUUCCAAUGAAUGAAGUUCUCUUCCUCCGUUGUAUGUUGCGCAGCACCCGCAAGGCCAGCACUGCCGCUUGAGAUAUUUAAGUAUGACUUUGAGAAAUGAGUCUGUCUUAGAUGUACAAGCACAGAGUCACUGGGAUGAGCAUGACUGCAAUGUUUAAAAUCUCUAAAUAAAGAGAUGCAGCCCUUUUUGCAUAUUCAUUGCCAAAAUGAAUAUUAUAUAGGAUGCCUGCUUUUGUAAGCAUUCGAAUAAAGCACAAGGAGAGAAUGCAGAUUUACUUAUUAUCAAUGAAACAACUCCAGUUGACCCAAGGAAGAAUGGUUUUCUUCAC
rnacentral:lncRNA from 1 species